rfam:Angomonas deanei Cont10075, whole genome shotgun sequence.
CCCUCUGUAGCUCAAUUGGUAGAGCAUUCGACUGUAGAGUAGCAGUAAUCGAAUGGUCGAUGGUUCGAUUCCGUCCGGAGGGA